GGGUUGUGAGGUUAAGCGACUAAGCGUACACGGUGGAUGCCCUGGCAGUCAGAGGCGAUGAAGGACGUGCUAAUCUGCGAUAAGCGUCGGUAAGGUGAUAUGAACCGUUAUAACCGGCGAUUUCCGAAUGGGGAAACCCAGUGUGUUUCGACACACUAUCAUUAACUGAAUCCAUAGGUUAAUGAGGCGAACCGGGGGAACUGAAACAUCUAAGUACCCCGAGGAAAAGAAAUCAACCGAGAUUCCCCCAGUAGCGGCGAGCGAACGGGGAGCAGCCCAGAGCCUGAAUCAGUAUGUGUGUUAGUGGAAGCGUCUGGAAAGGCGCGCGAUACAGGGUGACAGCCCCGUACACAAAAAUGCACAUGCUGUGAGCUCGAUGAGUAGGGCGGGACACGUGGUAUCCUGUCUGAAUAUGGGGGGACCAUCCUCCAAGGCUAAAUACUCCUGACUGACCGAUAGUGAACCAGUACCGUGAGGGAAAGGCGAAAAGAACCCCGGCGAGGGGAGUGAAAAAGAACCUGAAACCGUGUACGUACAAGCAGUGGGAGCACGCUUAGGCGUGUGACUGCGUACCUUUUGUAUAAUGGGUCAGCGACUUAUAUUCUGUAGCAAGGUUAACCGAAUAGGGGAGCCGAAGGGAAACCGAGUCUUAACUGGGCGUUAAGUUGCAGGGUAUAGACCCGAAACCCGGUGAUCUAGCCAUGGGCAGGUUGAAGGUUGGGUAACACUAACUGGAGGACCGAACCGACUAAUGUUGAAAAAUUAGCGGAUGACUUGUGGCUGGGGGUGAAAGGCCAAUCAAACCGGGAGAUAGCUGGUUCUCCCCGAAAGCUAUUUAGGUAGCGCCUCGUGAAUUCAUCUCCGGGGGUAGAGCACUGUUUCGGCAAGGGGGUCAUCCCGACUUACCAACCCGAUGCAAACUGCGAAUACCGGAGAAUGUUAUCACGGGAGACACACGGCGGGUGCUAACGUCCGUCGUGAAGAGGGAAACAACCCAGACCGCCAGCUAAGGUCCCAAAGUCAUGGUUAAGUGGGAAACGAUGUGGGAAGGCCCAGACAGCCAGGAUGUUGGCUUAGAAGCAGCCAUCAUUUAAAGAAAGCGUAAUAGCUCACUGGUCGAGUCGGCCUGCGCGGAAGAUGUAACGGGGCUAAACCAUGCACCGAAGCUGCGGCAGCGACACUAUGUGUUGUUGGGUAGGGGAGCGUUCUGUAAGCCUGUGAAGGUGUACUGUGAGGUAUGCUGGAGGUAUCAGAAGUGCGAAUGCUGACAUAAGUAACGAUAAAGCGGGUGAAAAGCCCGCUCGCCGGAAGACCAAGGGUUCCUGUCCAACGUUAAUCGGGGCAGGGUGAGUCGACCCCUAAGGCGAGGCCGAAAGGCGUAGUCGAUGGGAAACAGGUUAAUAUUCCUGUACUUGGUGUUACUGCGAAGGGGGGACGGAGAAGGCUAUGUUGGCCGGGCGACGGUUGUCCCGGUUUAAGCGUGUAGGCUGGUUUUCCAGGCAAAUCCGGAAAAUCAAGGCUGAGGCGUGAUGACGAGGCACUACGGUGCUGAAGCAACAAAUGCCCUGCUUCCAGGAAAAGCCUCUAAGCAUCAGGUAACAUCAAAUCGUACCCCAAACCGACACAGGUGGUCAGGUAGAGAAUACCAAGGCGCUUGAGAGAACUCGGGUGAAGGAACUAGGCAAAAUGGUGCCGUAACUUCGGGAGAAGGCACGCUGAUAUGUAGGUGAAGUCCCUCGCGGAUGGAGCUGAAAUCAGUCGAAGAUACCAGCUGGCUGCAACUGUUUAUUAAAAACACAGCACUGUGCAAACACGAAAGUGGACGUAUACGGUGUGACGCCUGCCCGGUGCCGGAAGGUUAAUUGAUGGGGUCAGCGCAAGCGAAGCUCUUGAUCGAAGCCCCGGUAAACGGCGGCCGUAACUAUAACGGUCCUAAGGUAGCGAAAUUCCUUGUCGGGUAAGUUCCGACCUGCACGAAUGGCGUAAUGAUGGCCAGGCUGUCUCCACCCGAGACUCAGUGAAAUUGAACUCGCUGUGAAGAUGCAGUGUACCCGCGGCAAGACGGAAAGACCCCGUGAACCUUUACUAUAGCUUGACACUGAACAUUGAGCCUUGAUGUGUAGGAUAGGUGGGAGGCUUUGAAGUGUGGACGCCAGUCUGCAUGGAGCCGACCUUGAAAUACCACCCUUUAAUGUUUGAUGUUCUAACGUGGACCCGUAAUCCGGGUUGCGGACAGUGUCUGGUGGGUAGUUUGACUGGGGCGGUCUCCUCCUAAAGAGUAACGGAGGAGCACGAAGGUUGGCUAAUCCUGGUCGGACAUCAGGAGGUUAGUGCAAUGGCAUAAGCCAGCUUGACUGCGAGCGUGACGGCGCGAGCAGGUGCGAAAGCAGGUCAUAGUGAUCCGGUGGUUCUGAAUGGAAGGGCCAUCGCUCAACGGAUAAAAGGUACUCCGGGGAUAACAGGCUGAUACCGCCCAAGAGUUCAUAUCGACGGCGGUGUUUGGCACCUCGAUGUCGGCUCAUCACAUCCUGGGGCUGAAGUAGGUCCCAAGGGUAUGGCUGUUCGCCAUUUAAAGUGGUACGCGAGCUGGGUUUAGAACGUCGUGAGACAGUUCGGUCCCUAUCUGCCGUGGGCGCUGGAGAAUUGAGGGGGGCUGCUCCUAGUACGAGAGGACCGGAGUGGACGCAUCACUGGUGUUCGGGUUGUCAUGCCAAUGGCACUGCCCGGUAGCUAAAUGCGGAAGAGAUAAGUGCUGAAAGCAUCUAAGCACGAAACUUGCCCCGAGAUGAGUUCUCCCUGACUCCUUGAGAGUCCUGAAGGAACGUUGAAGACGACGACGUUGAUAGGCCGGGUGUGUAAGCGCAGCGAUGCGUUGAGCUAACCGGUACUAAUGAACCGUGAGGCUUAACCUUACAACGCCGAAGGUGUUU
rnacentral:rRNA from 1 species